CCGGUCCCAUUCCGAACCCGGAAGCUCAGCCCUACAGCGCCGAUGGUACUGCCCUGGAGACGGGGUGGGAGAGUAGGACGCCGCCGGAC
rnacentral:rRNA from 1 species